ensembl:lncRNA
GUGUGUGACCAGUACACUACAGUACUACUAGAGGGUGUGUGUGUGUGACCAGUACACUACAGUACUACUAGAGGGUGUGUGUGUGUGUGACCCGUACACUACAGUACUACUAGAGGGUGUGUGUGUGACCCGUACACUACAGUACUACUAGAGGGUGUGUGUGUGUGACCCGUACACUACAGUACUACUAGAGGGUGUGUGUGUGUGACCCGUACACUACAGUACUACUAGAGGGUGUGUGUGUGUGUGACCCGUACACUACAGUACUACUAGAGGGUGUGUGUGUGACCAGUACACUACAGUACUACUAGAGGGUGUGUGUGUGUGUGUGACCAGUACACUACAGUACUACUAGAGGGUGUGUGUGACCAGUACACUACAGUACUACUAGAGGGUGUGUGUGUGUGUGACCAGUACACUACAGUACUACUAGAGGGUGUGUGUGUGUGACCAGUACACUACAGUACUACUAGAGGGUGUGUGUGUGUGACCCGUACACUACAGUACUACUAGAGGGUGUGUGUGUGUGUGUGUGUGUGUGACCCGUACACUACAGUACUACUAGAGGGUGUGUGUGUGUGUGUGACCAGUACACUACAGUACUACUAGAGGGUGUGUGUGUGUGUGACCAGUACACUACAGUACUACUAGAGGGUGUGUGUGUGUGACCAGUACACUACAGUACUACUAGAGGGUGUGUGUGUGUGACCCGUACACUACAGUAGUACUAGAGGGUGUGUGUGUGUGUGACCAGUACACUACAGUACUACUAGAGGGUGUGUGUGUGACCC